GAGGGGUCCUUAUUUAUUCUCUUGGUCCAUGGUUGCGCUUCUGGUUGCGAAGCAUCAUUAUUCUAUGUCAACAAUCUUUUCCCUCGAUCUGUCGGUCAUGCUUCGGUUCUCUUAUUAGACAAUUUUUGACUCUGAUAAAGUGCAUGUGAAAAUUUUAAGCGGAGACAUCCGUUACUAUGUGUGUCAGUGUCAUGAAUUUUUCAUGAACUUUUCUAAGUCGCCGUAGCAAGUCCUAGUGUGAUGUCUUAUUGCCAGUUAAGCAGCUCUCAGGCAUGCAAGUGAGGCAAGUGCAAUCAUCUAGCCUCUCACCCUCUCUGAUUUCAAUACUUCACUUUAGACUCUUGGUCUCGAUGAUUUCUAUCACACUUCAGCAGAAUUCGAAGGACUAAUUAUAUUAUUUUCCUGAUUAUAAGUUUCUGCGUCCUCAGUCAGCCGGAAAACAUUGAUGAGGUUAAUGUAUCGUUAUGGUACCUUCGUCCUCAUUGAAGAAGAAAACUGGUGCUCCUACUUGUAAGCAAGGCUCAAGCAAAGUGAAUUUGAUUGAUCCGGUCGAUAAAAAGGCCAAAAAUACUCCAAGUCCAAAAGUCCAUAAAAUACUCCAAGACAAGAAAUUCUAUUUGGAUGUGAAGAGCCAUUCUGCCCUGAAAAAACUGAAACUCGGCUAAGGGCACAUGGUGCUGUAAGUAGUUUAUCUUCAUUAUAUAUUUUCAUAACUUUUCUUUUAAUGAUUCAAAAAUAAAAAUUAAAAUAUCUCAAAUUUUUACCCGGGUAAAGAGGCGCCGGGAAUGUGCGAGAUGACUGAACAGGAAGAAAUAAGUAGAAUAUUUUGAUUUUUUUCUUUAAAAAAAAACGAGGAAAAAUCGUAGUUCUACUCUUUGGUCUUUGAUUAAUUUACACACCAGCAGGAAACCCCCACUGUCAGUAAUCACUGUGAUCAGUGAUCAGUUACAAAAUUUGGUAUCUGGAUUUUUAUUUACUUUUUCAAAAUUGUCAAAAUUUGUCCGAUGUUGCAAAAUUUCUCCAAUAUUUUUCAUAAUAUUCUGGAGAAGGAUACGUUCGAUAAAUAAUAUUAUUUUAAGCAAAUACUGGUCUCCGCUGCGCCGCGCCACAACAUCCAUUUGGGAGAUUUCAUGAUCGUGUACUUGUAUCUCACAUCAAACAUUCAUAGAGUCACUAGAAUUUUCUUAUGAAUAAACUUAGAACUCCGAAACUGAAAGCUUCGGACUGCAUUUUUAACAUUACUAAUGUAAUAUGCAAUGAAUCAUAACUCUCACAUUUCACGUUCUGUGAUGGACAGUAAAUAAAAAUGGAUAAAUAAUCAUUCUAUUUGGCUAAAACUAUUCCUUUUAUGAGAUAAAAUGGAAGUGACACUUCUUUCACCAGAAAACAGGUAAAAAUCCAUAUCACGGAAGGCAAAAUGUGUAAAUAAGGAGAGAAAGUUCGUUGGCCGGAAGGAGGGCGUAUAUUCGGUGUACUUUACGAGUCAAUUAUUCACGUAACGAAUGGACAGAUUUUCUCAAACUUGGAGGACACUCUCACUAUUCGACGUAGAAUCAGAAAAGCCGAACGUGAAAAAAGGGCGCAUCUCGAGGUCCGCCCUUCUUCCGGCAUGGUCCUCAAUUAUAGGAUUUCUCUUGCAAUAGGUAUUUGCGAAGUAUUAAAUCAUUAUUUAACGGUCACUCUUUGUUAAAAACCUAUAAAUAUUGGUAAAGUUCAUGCGUGCCGGUACUUGCCAGGGGCGGCACCCGAUUCCCUCCCGAGAUUCCCUCCCGGAUCCGAUUCCCUCCCGCUAAUGACCGCUGCCCAAGUCCGUUUCCGAUUCCCUCCCGCUAAUGACCGCUGCCCAAGUCCGUUUCCGAAUCCCUCCCGCUAAUGACCUUUAAUAAAAUGAAGCGGCAACGUCGCACUAAUCAUUCAACUCACCAUUUCCAGAGAGGUGCGCUGUUUCCCGUGAGUGUUUCAGGAAAAUUAGUGUAUAUUCACAAAAUUAUGAUGAUUUGAUGAAGAAAGUGGGCUAGGUUGAUAGAAAGUUCCCAAAGUCUGUUUCAUAUGUAUGCAUGAAACAAAAUUUGAGAACCCUCUCCCCCUUCUAACCCUCUGCCGGAUGUUCACAGAAAAACUAAAACGGGUGUAGAGGGCCCGAUGCGUCAAAGAAGAAAACAUGCUAAAAAAAUUCUAAAACGGAUGUAGAGAGCCCGACGUGUCACACAAAAAAUAAAAUCACAGAGGUAAGUCACACGGUUUUUACAAAAAAAUAUUGGGCGAAUUCCGGUGGGAGACCGUGCGAAUGAACUUCUAUCAACCUAGCCCACUUUCUUCAUCAAAUCAUCAUAAUUUUGUGAAUAUACACUA
rnacentral:lncRNA from 1 species